rnacentral:rRNA from 1 species
UACGUAGGGGGCAAGCGUUGUCCGGAUUUACUGGGCGUAAAGAGCGUGUAGGCGGCCACGCAGGUCCGUUGUGAAAACUGGAGGCUCAACCUCCAGCUGUCGACGGAAACCGUAUGGCUAGAGUCCGGAAGAGGAGAGUGGAAUUCCUGGUGUAGCGGUGAAAUGCGCAGAUAUCAGGAAGAACACCAAUGGCGAAGGCAGCUCUCUGGGACGGUACUGACGCUGAGACGCGAAAGCGUGGGUAGCAAACAGG